CUUUGGACUUCCAGGAGAGUCACUGUCCUAUUGUGAGAUUUAAGCUAGAGUUCAGGAAUCUGGCCAGCUCAUAGGAGAAUUUAUUUGGACAUAUCAAUCAAACUGCAUCGAAUCCUGGCUGAAACAUCACAAGGUUGGCAGGGAAACAGUCAUCUUCAUCUGACCUUUUUUUUGGCCAAACUGGAGCAGUAUGUACUUGGUUUGCUCAUGUGGUAAAAGCAGUCCUUCCUCCUAAAGAUGCUUUGGAGGAAGACCAAUGAAAACAGCCUGUUCCAGGAAAAAGACAGCAGCUAAAUGUCAGUUUUCACCAAGAGCAGAGCAAAAUUCCCUCAGAAAAGGACCCUCAAGGACUGUUUUACCAAUGGUAGCAAAGCUCUUCAGGUACCUGGGUGCAAGCACCAUUUUCAGGGAGAAGGCAGAGGAGCUUCUCAUUGUAAUGCAAUGUAGACCUCUUUUCUGCACUGGAUGGGGAGCUGUACAUUGCUCAGUGGGGAUGAAGGAUCCAGUCCCCCAACAAAAAUCCCAGUGUGGAGGCUGUCUCUUGUGGGUUUGCCAGGCUGGUCUGAGUUGGGAGCUUUGUCUGCAGGCAAAAUAUAGGCGACUGGGACCCCAGGUAGACAGAUUUGGGAUUGCGUGACUGUGGGAAGUAUCAGCAGGGCUAAAAGCCUGUUCUCAGGCCUUCCACUGUUUUUGCCCUGGGUGGGCAGUUGGCAGUGAGGGUUACUGCUGCCCAGUGCCUCCCCCCAGCAAGCAGGAAGGCUCCAGGUCUGACCUGGAUUUUUCCAGACAAGAGUGAACACCAUGAAACAAACUUACGAAACAUCUGGCUUACUUUGAGUUUCUCUCUGUUUUUGUUCCUCUAUUCUAACAGGCAUCUUCAGCAGAGGAUGUGCAGUUGCAGUACUUCACAUCUGGAUGUGUCAGUCUUGCAAACUGAUCUGGUGGGCAGUGCUGCUGAUGCAGUGGCUAGAGCCAGAUAUCCUACCAUUUUCUAGAGAAAGUCUGUGAGGACUAAGCAGCCCAGAGCCUUGCAGAGCUACAGCAGGCAAGACUCUGCACACUUUUGCAGAAAGGGAAUAGUAAGCCUGAAGGCCCAAACUGAUUGCAUCCUAAGACUCAGCUUUUUGCCUACUCGGAUCUUUUUUAUUUCUCACUGCUUCCAGUUAUUUGCAGCUUUUAUGGUCCUGAUGACCUGCUAUGUGAUUGGACAUGUGGCUCCCCAAGGUUUCUUGAAUACUCCUCUGUCUGCCUUUGAGGCAGAGGGUACCCUGGUAGUGGUGACAUGUCGCACUUUUGCUCCUGCAUCCUCAGACACCCCACCACAUCUCUGAGAGCCCCAGCAGCCAUUGACUACAAGCUCUGCUUUGGAGACAUGGGCUGGCAGCAGUAUAGCCUGGGAGAGGAACUGGAAAGUCCCAGCUCCAGCCCAGACUGUAUCUCUCCAUCUUGAGUGCAUGGCUGGGCAGAUUACCCGAUGCCUAUGCUUUAGUUUCCCCAUCUUUGUAGAUGGCAUCAAUACCUGCAAGUCUUGCUAUGGAAAUUAAUUACAUGUGGCUGUGGUCUGAAAACUGGCCAAGUUCAUGCCGAUCUGCAGAGGAUCUGCCCUGUGACACUUCGGACAACAGCCUGGCAUCGCAUCAAGUGACAUCCAUACUUCAUCUUGUCAGAAGAGGAGUGGCAAACCAACAUGGGUGCAGCAACACAUGGGUGCAGGCAGGAACAGAGAGCAGCAGCAGCAUCUAUUGCAUCAACCCACCAUUAUCUAAGCAGGGGUGGCAGAGGAACCUGGGCUUCUGGCACCCUUAUGUAAAAGCCUGGCUGCUGUCCUGGCAGCCAGCUCUGCCUUUGAGUGCAUGGGACCAAGGACUUCUGUAGCCCUGUUACAGAACAGCAGGAUGCCACACAGGACAUAACAUCGCUCUUGGAGGCCAAGCCUGGGUUUUGACAUGACAGCAGCAUGAUAGUUCAAGAGAUAGAGGCCAGUGCAGCUUCCUGUCAAUCUGCAGAGGGACAACAACUUUGUUGCCAUGAAGACUGACUUUCUCUCACAAGACUCCUCAGAGGCUGUCUGCUCAGGGUCCCAUUUGCCCUACUUCCUGCUGGUUGAAAGCACCCCUGCUUCCUGCAGGAGGUGUGGCACUCUUGGCCUUAAAACACCCCUCUGUGGGGCUGGUUGCAUCCAAGCACUUUGGAGAUAUACACUCUGUAUACAGUUCCUCCAAAGCAGCUGAGACAACAUGCUGGGCAUUGCUUCUCCAUGUGGCUGCUGUGUGGAGCAGUGCUGCCCCUGCAAGGGGUCUUACUGUGCCAGGCUGCAGGGCACUGGCUGCUCUGCAUCUGGCUCACUGCUUUGUAGUCUUGAGGAUGCCUGCUUGCCUCACCUUACCUGUAUAGGCAGGGCUCGACUAAAUCUCCCACCAACAGGCUUUUGAUGUUUUUAAAUUAGGAGAAGUCACUUUAACCAUGGGCAGCUGAUCUGAUUUGUCCUUUGCAGCCCAUUCUCCAUCCAUGCCUGGGGAGAUGUGGAGCUGGCACAAGAGUCAGCACUACUUGCCUGCAAAUGGCACACAGUGUAUCCUCUGUGCACGUGUGUGUGCAUGAGAGAGGUAUAGAAAUAACUCAUCUGAUGGGGCAUGUUGGCCAUGAAGGUUUUCUGGUAGCAGAGAUUUUCUGGAUUAAGUGAUGCCCAAGUCAUUUUAUUUCCCAAUGGAAUUUUUUGGUAUGUUGGACUAUGUAGAAAAUCCAGUUUUGGUCUCGUUGUCCUUUGACAGGUAGUCAUCCUGGCUGUUAUUUCCUGCUCUAGCCCACUGAUGCCUCAUAUAGAUCCUGAUCCUUGAUUUGAUUUGAAUUUCAUUAAACUACACAGAAGGGUCUUUGCCCAGCUAUGAAUACUGAUUACUGGGGAUAUCUGCAGCUUCUUUUGGGCCCAAAGGCACUCACUGGUGAUGAGGACAGGGCUGAGAGAGACAUUGCACCCAACUACAUGUCAAAUGUGACAGGGUUCUGAGCAUUUUUGGGUCUGACAAGGAACUUGGUACCAGUGAAGGCAAGUUCUUGUGCAAGCCUACUUCAGGUAUUCUUUGCCCCAAUCUUUAAUACUAAGGUUGGUUGUCCUCAGGUAGUUGAACUGAAAGGCAGGGAUAUGGAGUAGACUGAAGCCCCUAUAAGUCAAAGGGAAGUGGUCCCUUGUAGUGUACCCCAGGGUUCAGUGUUGAGGUCAGUUUUAUUUAAAAUCUUUAUUGAUGAUCUGGAUGAAGGGACUGACUGCACCUGCAGUCAGUUUGCAAAUGACACCAAGCUUAGUGGGAGUGUUGCUCUGCUGGAAGGCUCUGCAGAGGGAUCUGGACACUCUGGAAUGGUGGGCUGAGGCCAGCUGUAUGAGGUUCAACAAGGCCAAGCGCCAGAUGCACUUGGGUCACAACAACCUCACAUGAUGAUGGGAGGAGUGGCUGGAAAACUGCCCAGCAGAAAAGGGCUGUAGGGUGCUGGUCAACAUCUGGCUGAACAUGACCCAGCAGGGAGCUCAGGUGGCCAAGAAGGACAAUGGAAUCCUGGCCUGUAUCAGCAAUAGUUUUGGACCAGGACUGUGGGGGAACAGUGACUGUCCCCCUUGUACUGGGCACUGGUGAGGCCCCUUGAAUGCUGUUCCCAGAUUUGUGCACCUCACUGUAAGAAAGACACUGAUGUGCUGGAGCAUGUCCAGAGAAGGGCAAUGGAGCUGGGGAAGGUUCUGGAGCACAGGUCUCAUGAGGAGCAACUAAAGGAGCUGGGAUGUUUAGCCUGGAGGAAAGGAAACUACCUGAAAGGAGGUGGUAGCCAGGUGAGGGUUGUUCUCUGGUCCCAGAUAAGUGACAGGACAAGUGGAAACAGCCUCAAGUUGCACCAGGGAGGUUUAGAUUGGAUAUUAGUAAAAUUUUUUUCACUGAAAGGGUUGCCAAGCAUUGAAAAUGGCUGCCCAGAAGUCACCAUCCUUGGAGGUAUUUAAAAGAUAUGUGAAUGUGGCACUUGGUUUAAUGGUCUUGGUAGUGUGAAGUUAACAGUUGGACUCAAUGUUCUUAAAGCUAUUUUCCAGCCUUAACAAUUUUAUGAUUUUGUGGUCCACUUUUGCUGCACAGCUUUUACCUCUAUUGCCCUAAGGCCCAAUUACAGAUCUUCUGGGAAAUUUAAGUGGAUGGACAAGGCUCCUUCUUCUAAUUCUUGGUCCUUAAGUGCUUGAUGGUUUUUGGAGUGCUGGUGUCCGUGUACCAAGUCAUUCAUCCCCAGCCAUACUGCAUUCUAUACUACUUCUGCAUCUUUUCCUAAAUAACCUGAAAUUCUCAGAAAAACCUCAGUAGCUUCUUGAAAGCAGAAAUAUAAGAAACCUUCUGGAUUGAGCUCUCUGACUGUACAUUGUGCUUAUUAUGCUGUAUCAUGCCUUGUUCUAUACUAACUCAACUCUAGUCUAGUGUCGCCUUACAGCAAGCCCAGCCCACAGGUAACUCAGAAAACUUAUAUGCUUUUUGGUACAGUGGGAUAUCUGCUCCACUUAUAUUCAAUCCUUUGUUUUAUAUAACCCCAUAGCCACCAUCAGUGACUCCUCUCUGAAGAGUCCUCAAAUGUGGUAUUUAUACACAGCAGCCACUCUUAUCUGGUUUACGUAUUCUUACCAGGGAUGAAAUCAGAAGAACCCCAUGCUUCUGGAACUUUUAGGCUGCAAAAUCACACUCUGAGCAGGUGCUGUGCAGUGUGAUCCUUGGUGGCAUGAACAGGGUCCCCCCGCUCCUGGCUGGCUGUGUUUAUCUCCCUUAUUUAUCUGGCAUUUCAGAGUGUCGUGACUCCAGACUUGGUGACAUUCCUCCUCCUCCCAUGUGGACACCAGCUGCCAGCUUCAUAUAACAGCACACACAGGAAUGGCAGCAACAUUAUCUCACUGGUGCUGGCCAGAGAGAAAUCAUACCUUUGUGGGAUCAAAAGACCUUGGGGGAGAAGGAAGGGCUCAUCUGACCUGUAAAAUGGGAAGACUUGAAGUGACUUUCUUGUGGUGGCACAGUCUGCCACUGUCUGGGAGAAACUCAAGUGUCUUGUUCACUAGGCCAUGCAUGAUACAGCACAAAGUGGUCAUGCUGGUCCAUCUACAGGAGGCACAUCUGGCAGGAUGGACAAGCCUGCGCUGAAGAACCAUGCCUAUAAGCUUGUGAAGAGCAUCAGCUUUUGCAGUGCUCCAAGCUCAGCAGGGACAGGUGGCAAGCCCACAGACCUUGAUAUUGGCAGACACUAGCAACACAUCAGGCUAGAAAACAAGGGUAAUGGAAAUGCAGCCUUGCUGCUGGGAGAGGAGCUCGUCUUACAUGGGAUGGAUAUAUGAAGAAGUGCUCUGCAUUAUGCGCGCGAGUGGAAAUAACCUUAGAGAAACAGAUCACUAAUGAUACUGCAUAUUCCACCUGGGCUGCGUCUGGGUACUGCAACUCCUGUAUCUCACUGCUGGAAAUGUGUGGUCAGGGUAUGUUAUCCCAGAGAAGAAUCUGCAGUGCAGUAAAAGCAGCAGGGAUCCUUUCUGCAGUGAGGAUCCAAACUGCUCUAAGACAACUCAGAGAUGCACAAACUGUUCCUGUGCUGAGAUGCAAAAGAGAUCUCUGGUCAGACUGUUAAGGUGACUCCUCAUGAUAACAACUGCUGGCACACACUAACCCUGUCCAGUGCCCUGCCGGUGUGAGAUCAGUCACACACAAACAUUUCCCAGUGUACUUCCAAGCAGAGAGACAUAGGUGUCAGUAGACUCCUUUCAGAGUUUUAGCUUGUUCAGUGUUCACAACAAAGAGAGCAGGGCCAAGGAAAGAGCCUGUUCUUACCACACUUCCCUUUAAAUAAAGCAGUUCUCUGUGUUUCUAGAGCAUGCACAAGAUCUGAGACCAUGUGCACAGGCAGCCCAGCUGUUCCCACUCAUGAUUAUUACCAGUAUUUAACGUACUGAAAACCUGAGAUGCAGAUUUCUAUCUUUUCUAUAAGAUACACAUCAAAUUUCAGGGCUUCAUUAACAACACUAUCAGUAACCUCACACCACAUUUUGAGUAGCUGGCUUAGGGGAAGGCUUUCAAACAUUGACCACUUUUUGCACUUCCAAGUCUCCAUUACUGCUUGUGUAUCCAAACCUUGACAGGCUUACAAUAUUACCUCGAAAAGCUUCACAUCCUAAAUCUUUUGACUGUUAUAUCAUAUGUGCUCCUUGUUUGGACAAGUGAUAUUUGAGUUACAAAGUUUUCUUUCUGCUACAGUCAUUCUUUACCUCAUCUUUCCAGGAAUACGGGCAUUUCCGUAGCUUUAAAAAUUCCAGUACUGGUGCAGAAUAAAAUAAGUUGUAUCUCCAUCAGCAGUGAGUGAAACAGGUUUUAAUCUUUAUGCCACUGGUAAAUUUGGCUCUUAAAGGUUUAAAACUAUGCCCUAGAAACAGAAAGGAUUUGAAAAAUGAGGUGCUAACUGCAUUUUUAUCUGCAGAUCAAACCUGAACUAAUCCAACACAACCUUUUAAGAUUGCUGGCAAUUAUUUUGUCUUUCUGCUUGAGUGGAGGUCUAUUUCUGUAGUCUGUGCCAGCAGAUCCUAAAGGUAGGUUAAUACCAUUGUUGUGAGGCAUUAUGAAAAGAGUGCAAUGUUGCCUCUAUAUAGGUACUAAACAGGGUGCAGCUUUAUUUACAGUGUAAAGUGCAUCACAUGGAAGUCGUUUAAAACACACAACAAGCAGUGACAUAAAUGACAAUACAGUACUGGGUAGGGAGGGAAAAAUAUUCCAGCAAGUAUCAAAACAUCAUCAAUAGCACUAAUAUAACAGCCUCUAGUUUCAGCUAUUCUGUCCUAACACCACAUAAUACAAAACGUGUUGACUGGGUUGCUCCCGGGACUUCACGUACUAGUCACUAGUGUGAAGCUGAGGUGCUAAAAGCUAUUCUGCAGCCCUAAACUCUCCAGCAAUGUCCUGCUAGAUCUAAGCACUCUCCUCACCACUGCUGUUCUGCUCUGGAGAUGACCAGGACAGAAUCAGGGGACACACCAGAGAAGCACAUUGGAAAAGGGACACCAAUGUGAGAAUGACAUAUAAAUUAAGAUCUGCUUUUCUCACCUAUGCACUCUUUCCCUUGAGAAGUCCUGUGCUACUCACUGCAGCUUCCCUUCAUUUGCUGGUAAGGCAGCAAGGAAGUCAAGCAACAAAGUGCCUACAAAUGGUGGUGACUGUGUGUUGAAAUGUGGACAUUACUUACUGGACACUAACUUCAGUCAAAGCUGCAAACAUCAAUGGCUGUGGAGCUGGGAGAAGAUUUUUGCUACGUGCUAGCAGAGUCCAUUAGAAAAAGAAGGUUGUGGGAGCUAAAACCACAACUCUUCAGCUGGUUGCAGCUCCCACUGGGAAAGAAUCUACAUUCACAUUAAUCUGAUCCCCUAAUGACUCCUAUUUUUUACUAUCUGUUUUUUUUUUUUUUAAAUUGGCUGAAAGCUCCUAAUAGCUGAAAACUUUGCUUGUUUCUUUCUUCCCUGUUUCUGGUCUUGGGCUAACAGCCAUCAGUUAUGUGUCAGUAUUUACUAGAGCCCUGUUACUGUAACUGUGAGCUCAUUUUGGUGUCAGGAUUCAUGCAUAAAAGGAAGGUACAUCCAUGAAGGUGAGUGGGGUGGGGCAGUUGUGCACACUCUUAAUCUGGAGGGUAGCUAAGCAGGAAUAGGAAGCUACAGAAGGUAAAAUUUAUUUCUCCUUUUUCUUUCCCAAUGAUGACUGCAAAUUACACUUUUCUGUUACUAUUGGGAAAAAUGGAGCUUCUGAUUGAUGACUCUCUGGUUCUGACUCCAAGAUCUUUUUUCAUAGAUCAGACUUUUUGUUUACUGAUGACAAUUGCCACAUAUGUGACUUCAAAAAAUGCAUGUGAUUUCUGCCUUGUAAUUCCACCACCCUACUUAAUCACAAAUCUUAGCAUUUCAGUUCAUCAGAGUACGACUUAAUGGUGGCACUCAGGUGUGUGCUUUCCUCAGAUGCAAUGGGAUUACCAGUGUGAGAAAGAGACAUCUGAUAGCAUGUGUGCUCUCAGUAUUUCUCAGUCAGCUGAGCAUUUCUACCUGUGUGUGUUCUCAAGACAGGCUUUUUCCAGUUUUUUGAGGGUUCUGCAUAACAAAAAUGCAGAUAGCAAACUUUCACCUGUAAACGUAACCGUUGCCUUCACUCUCCGACUCAGGGGCAGUCAAAUACUGGGACCUAAACCCCAGAUAUCAAAAACAUUCACCUAGCAGGUAGCUGCUAGAUAUGUACUUCAUCUACAUAGGAAAGGGAUGGUGGUUACAGGCAGGUGGUGUGUCCCAUGGCAAAAGGAAAGUGCAGGUUUCAGAGAUCUGCCUGCUUCCUACUGCUGGCUCCUGGAUUAUCCAGUUUAGAGCUACACCUGCACUGCCUGUAGGUCAGAAAGCUUCCAAGGCUCCUGUUGGCUAGACUUAGUCCAUUCUUCUCUCAAUGAGAUGAUGUUCCCUCAUCUCUUUUACAAUUUUGACUAUUUAAACCAAGAAAUCUCAGGUAAAAUUCAUGCAGAUGCCUCCCAUUAAGUCACUCUCCAAUGAAGUUAAUGUCACAUAAACUACACUACAGAAUCUUCUCCUUAUGCUCACCAGAAACUGUGGUUACAACACCGACUUUAUCACAUGCAGUUAUAAUUUUUAUCAGCUGAAAUUCAGAGUCAGGCCCAAUGCAGAGUUUAGUGGCUCUGUCAGCCUUGUGUAACACUCUUUACUGUUGAGUUGCUGGACAGUAGUAUGCUUUGGCAGCUGGUAAGCAGAAUUGCCAUAUUCUGUUUAAUCAUAGUUGGCAGUAUAGUACAGUUUAAUUAGUUUACUUAAUGUAAGAAAUGGGAGGGACUUCACUUUAAACAACCUCUUCCUCAGUGGACUGUAGGAAUCUUUACAUUUGUAUGUGUAUGUGUGUAUGACAUCUGUGUAGCAGCAUAUAUUUGAUAACACUUUUGUAAAUGAAAAAUACAGAGUAUUUCUUUAAAAAUUGAAAGGUAUUGUAAAAAUGUAUCACAAAAUAAAAUACAAAACAAGGGAGCUGGGGAGGGGUGGGGGAAGGGAAACAAUGGAUUUGAUUUGCAACGCAUUAGAUUCCAAGCCCUGGUGCCUAGGCUGAAGAAAGAUAUCUGAAUGUAGAAUUGCUGCUCUGAUGUUAAAAGGGAUAGAAUCCAGCCUUCCGUUUCCUGCAUUGAAAAACCCAAACAAAAUAAAAUCAGGGGUGUGCUGAACAUACCAAACGAUUAACAGUGAGGUACAAGAGGAUGGUGUCUGAAAGUAUACCAGGGAUUAGAGUGCCACAGCUCAAAGAGGGGAAGACAGUAGGCAUGGGGAAUAGAGAUAUCUGACAUUUAAUUUUAGUCAUGGCUCAUCACAGAGUAGUUUGGAGCUAGUCUCGUUCUGCAUGCUGGUAAAAGCUUUGGGAUCUUUCAGCUUCCCCUUAUAAAUCACACCUUGUUAACCUGCAGCAGUGAUUCUCUGCUAUCGUGGCAUUUGCCUGUAUUAUUUUAGAAUUGUCAGAAAGGUAUCAUACCCCAUAAAGGGCCACAGGUAAUGGAGGCCAAAGCUUAACAAAAUAUGAAACAGAUGUCAGAGCUUGUUUCAGUCUUCACCCACCCACUUGUGUUUGGGAAACUUCCUCUUAAACAGCUCUGGAAGGGACAAGCUGCUAGACUCAAUCCUGCAGGGCUAAUGUCACAGGCUUUGUCUGUCUCCUGCAGAAAAAUAUUAAUAUUCAUGUGGUUCUUAUUUAGCUCUCCAGGCUAAUGACCAAUGUGUUCAGCAGGAGCCUGUGUGAGUCGCGGUAUAAACAUUUUUGCUAUCAUGUGUUUUAUGGCCCUAGAGCUGCCAGGAGAUUUGAACUGGGACUUGCCUCAGAGGCAGUGUGUCGUACUCUUUAAAUGAUUACAUCACUCAACGCUGGGUGUAAGAUGACCUAUUAUUUAUAACAACUCUUGCAUGAGCCUAGUCUUGAACAUGGACCCAGCUGAGGUAUAUACAGUUAAUAAUGAGCUCUAGUAAACAGUAGGCCACUAAAAUUUCCUGAAGAAUAUUCUGUAUUCCAUGUCAAAACUCCACUUCCAUUUACAUCAUGAAAAACCAGUCUAAACAUUGCAGGUUUGCCUGUCUCCUUACAUGUAAAUAUACAAUUUUCUGAGCUUUCUAGAAGUUUGGCAAUAAUUUUGCACAGUACUCUCUAAGAUCUAUCCAUAUUGCCCAUAAAUCUUGAGGCAUCUUAAGGUUACUGUUUUACAGAACCUAGACAUGCUCGAAAUGUUAAAAUUAUUUGCUCAUUGUUCAGAUUUAGAGUUCAGUAGGGUAUGAUUCAGCCUAGCUCUGGGACAGUGCUCAGCAACACUUACCUAGAGCAGUCAUGUCCAGUCCAGGAAGAGGGACAGUAGCACCGAUUUGGUCGUAUGCACUUCCCACCAUUUAAGCAAGGCGACUGGCAAACAGCUGCAUACAAACACACACACAAAUUUGCAUUAAUGAGCACAACCACAGCAAGCUGAUUAAGGAGCAGGGCACUGAAAAUCCAUCCUGCCUUAGGAAUGGAAAGGGCAGCCUGAGAAGCACACGUCUGCUAAGUGUGAUUUGACUCUAUUACUUUUGCUGCAUUGUAUGAGCUGCAUGAAGCAGCCAGUGUGUAAUUUUACAUUGCCUUAAAAAUUCUGUUGUUUCUGAUUCCAGUUAAGACAACAAAGGAAAGUGGAACCAGGAGGAGGAAUUAGACGAGUCAUAACAUAAACUGGAGAAUAGGAAUAAAAUGUAGACUUUUUUAAAACAAGGAAUGUGACAGCUUAACACUAGCCAAGACAAGCAGACAUCAAACAUGGUGAAAAAGUAUAGAAAGAAACAGCAGAGGAAGUUGAAGGUCAGAAAGCCAUGUGCAGAUCAACACUAAGCAAGGAGUAAGAUUUCACACAAUGGCACCUAUAUGGAGACAAAGAAAGGAAGCAGAGAGUGACAGUAAGGUUCUGAAAGACACUGGAUAGCCCUAAGAGGUGAGACUAGGUGCAACAGGGUGUUAGAGAAAAACCCCUUGUCUACCUUCCAGGUCAUGCUGAGCCUAGUUGAACAUGCUUUCUUGUGACAGUCAAACCCAAGGAUAUCAAGUAAUCAAACAAGAGUCAAAGUUUCAAGUCUUCCAAUCAGUUUUGAGAUUGAAAGGUAAAGAACCAUACAAUUUACAGAACCAAUUUAGAUACGCACUUAAUGAGGUACUUCAAACACAGACAUGUUUAUUGCAGGAAAAUUGAAAGAUGUGAAUACUUUGAAGUAGAUAAUGCCAGACAUAGAGAACAGACCUAAAGAUACUAGUGAGGACAAAGGCUGGGUAAUAUUUUUGCAAGGAAUAUGCAUCAGGAAACACUGAUUAACACGGAAUUACAGGAAAUGUAAAUGAGGAGUCACAGGAAUGCGAAAAAACGACUCCAAUUCCUCUGGGCCAAACAAGAACAAACAAUGGCAGGAGGCUGUAGUGAUAGGCCAUCCAUAUACAAUUAAGUGCACCAUGUAGGUAAUGUUGAAAAUUACUUCUGAUUUUGGAAUGAAGCAUAUGAUUGCAACAUCUUUAGCUGUCAUUGAAGUACUUCUCUGUCACAGCAUAAUGUCAAUAUCAGUAGCUGAAACAAGAAGUGAUUAAAAAAACUUCAUAAGCAGUGUCUAUGACGCAGAUGCAAUUUUCACUAGAAUUUUCCCUUUAGCUACUGAAAAGUAAGUCAAGCCUGUACAGAUUUGAAUUUCUGGCCCAAAAGUGAAGAAGCCAUCUAUCCUCCUCAAGCACCUAUUACAGCUGCAAAGCUUGUGAAAUACGAGCGGAAAUGAUGCAUUAUGUGUUAGGCAAGAGUCCCUUCAAAAGACAAUAGUUCAGAGUUAAAAUGCUCCCUGUGGUAUUUCAGUUUUCUGCAGAAGUGUUGGGUUUGCAGUGUAUCACACAGCUUAUCCCCUAAAAUCACUAUUCUUAUCAGUUAAACAAAUGCUAUGAACAUUCAUUAACAGAGGCAUGGAUUCCUUCCCAGCUCACACCAUCAGCUACUUCCAAGUCUUGCAGGAAGGCAAAACUGGGCUUUCAUGUUAAAUCCCUGUUAAAAAUAAGUUAAGGUGCACCCGGACAUAAAAUACAGUGAAGAAACUGUAAAAGAUAUUUUUCAAAAUAGCUAAUAUUUGUAACUGUUUAAGAUCUAAUAAUGAUUGAAAGACAUUUCAGUAACAACUCAGUUGCUGAGUUUUACUGUCUUUUCACAGGGAAAAGUCUUUCCAAAACUGGCAUUUGUUCAGUUUUGAUAUUCUAAGCCUCAGGUUCAAAUAUUUUCCAUAACUGCAGUCAACCUCAUCUCACACAAACUGACUGGUCAGGACACAGACCUGGACAUCAGGAAUCACUACCGUCCUCCUACCCCUCUCUAUUUUUGUGUGCUCCAUGCCCUUCACCUUUGGUUAGAUGCAAGUAAGAGAUCUAGUAAAAAGAAGUGCACAUUGGAUUUGUUCAGAGAACUUAGAUGAUACCUAAUGUAAGGCAGCCAUGUAUGACGUACCCAUUAAACUCAACCACCCUUAAAUCCUUGCUUUGCUCUGCUGUCUUUCCUGAUUCAGUACCCAGGCAAUUAGUGGGAAUCCACCAAACCAGACAGCUAUGUGGUGAAAAACCUCUACAAUACCUGCAGCUUGUUUGUCAAUUUAAUGAUGACCUGAAUUUCCAGAAGAUGAAAAUGAAAAUCAUGCCCUUGGAAUUGAGAAGAAUUGUUUUAUUCUUCUCCCUGGAAACCCUUUCUCCUUUGCAUUGCUUUUUGCAGAGAGUACUUUGGGAAUACUGUCUGUCCUUUACCAGAGCAAGAUUUUCUGGGAAUUUAAAAGACUCAUCAGGGAGGGACUAAUCUGAAAGUAGUUUACAGCUGGGGACAGCAACUCCUCCAGGAAUAUUAUUGUAGGCCUAGCUUUUCCUGCAAGAAGCUUAGGAGUUCCAUGAGUCCCUAGAGAACUGUGCUAGGUAUUGCUAGUAGUCAUAAAAAGUGAGAAAAAAUGCAGGUGAGAAGUUUUACCCAUAUGGCAGCGUGAUCCAGUCCAUCCGAGGGGGCAGUCACACUGGUAAGGGGCCACACAGCGACCUCCAUUGAGACACGGCAGAAUGCAUAUUGCUAAGGAGAAGAGCAGAGAACCAGAGAAAAGCAUUACCUCCCAUGAAAGCAAAGAAUAGAGUGUGCAAAAGAUGAACUUAUGUUUAAAUAGAAACUCCACUACCCCUUGAAGUGUUUGCAUGGAGUAUCAGCAGAGUUGAGCAGGAUCUACCGACAAGGCAUGAGAAGCAAAUACUGCUGGCAUGGCACCCAGAUAUGACAAGGAGUAGUGGCAAAGAAAUGGAUAGGCUGGAGCAAUUCCUAGAGUCCCUCAGAUGCUUGGAGGCCCUGUGUUCAUGGGAAAUGAGCCAGGGCUGUUUCCUUUUAUCCCAGGUAUAAUAUUCACAGACACUGGCCACUUCUGUGGUGGUGCUAACAAAAUCAGUUCAUACUUUAAUUACAAAAAUUGGAUUGUUCAUGAAUUCUUUGGACUCACAGAUGUAGCAUCCAAAACAAGUUAAUCUAUGCCCCGCCCAUAGAAAAGCACUUUGUCUAGGCCAGUAAAAACAUGCUGAGACAGGUGAGACCAUAAGUCCCCUGGGGAAAGGCAGCUUGGAUACAAGGCAUUUUGGGUGAAACAAGACUUGGGCUGGAACCUUUGGGGAAGAAACAAAGCACAUACCAAGCAGCUGAUGACCUCUGGACAGAGCAACAAUCAGGCUACACUGCUCCUCUGAGCAGAUCUGCAAAACUCCCAUAUGUUCAUGAUUUAAGUACCUUCACAAAACUCUUAUCUCCACUAUGUUAAGUGAAAAAAGUACUUGAGGGUACAUGCUCUAAUAAGAGCAAGGGUUGAGCUGGGUCUCAAAUUUGGACCCUCAAGGGGCACUUCCAUUAGAGUUUUAUAUUGGGAGGGUGAAUGAGGUCUGAAGAAGACUGAGGUAGGGGUUCUUCCUCUUCUGCUGCUCAGCAGAGGUCAAGCUGAGCAGGUGCCGUCAGCUUGGAUAAGAAAAUAAUUAUGAGUUUCCAUGGACCUCACAUGGACUAACCCUUAUCACUGAGAAAUACUUUUCUAUAUCAUUAAACUUGCAGUAGCCUGCCUGUUUUUUAGAAUGGACAGGACUCUCUUAGGAAGAUGGAUCUUACCUUUUCUGUGAAAUGUUCUGUGAACUACAAGGUGACUAAAUUCUGUCAGCGGCCUUAUUGUGGCCUGAUCCUGACAGACGUGUGCUCAGUGCUAGCACUCAGAAAUUCCUUGGGCUUCCAGAACAGGCCCUUAACUUCAAAGACUAAGCCCGUCUUUUCUGUUCACUGGCGCACUUUGCUUGACAAGCAAUGCAAACCUGGGGUUGCACUGACCAGUUGUGCAAAUUCUUUUCCUGAGCUGGGAUGACAGAUUGAAAGAGCUGGGAUCAUAAAUGAAAUGGCUGGUUCCGGAGAAUGCUUCAAGUGUCAUUACUGAUGAAACUAAUAAACUCAGCUGUGGGAUGCCAAACACAAUUUUGUCAGACACAGUUUCUGUGUCUGGUACUACUUCACAGUUUCUGCUGAAACUGUGAGACUUACACGGCUGAGUUGCAUGUAUGGCUGUGGUGAUACUGACAGUCAUACGGACAGAAAAAAGGGCCUGUGUGAAUGUACCACAUGACUGGAGUUUCCAUAAAUGCAAAAAGACAAAACUUGCUGAACCUCUUGUUCUCAUUCUGUAUCUACCACUAAUUUGUGCCAUGUGCAACUGACACUGUCACAGAGAAGACUUGAAAGCUGCAGAGAUAGAUUCAGAGGACCAUUUUAACCUAUGAUACAUCUUAAAUGCUUGAACCAUAUUCUUCUCCAAGAACUAGAUAAGAAUGGGCACAAUUUUUGUAGGUUUCCAUGUAUACUCAGAGUCAGGGGCAGUGACUCAGAUUCAGGGACAGUGACACCACCCCUGCUGUAGAUGUUCUUGGAAAUGCUAAAGCCUUACAUCAGGGCCAUACUGAAUACUAAAUACAGUAAGGGUACUUUCCUUUUCUAUCCACAUAGACCCAUGCCUUACCAUGUGUACAGUAAUAAGGCUCCUCAUGCAGCAGCUAUGCCAGCCUGAAAGGGUUAAAUCUCCCAAAUUCCUUGUGCUAAGACCACCAUGAAGAAAAAGUGAAACAUGGUUCAAACUGGCAUUCCCAAAUGUUACCCAAGGAAUUUCUGACACAGUCAACAGUCAGAUUUGGUUCUUUUCAGUGAGAACAGGUCCAGUUCUCUAACCAUUCUGAGAUCUAUGGCAGGAAAAGCCAGUCUAGAAUUUGUGAGGUAGAAAUACACAGGUCAGCAGGGAUAGCAUGGAAAAGGUAACACAUUGCAGUAUUUGAACAAUGAAUUGUUGAGGUUCAUAACCACAGGCUGAUAAAUAUGUAAGCCAAGAGACUAAUGCAGCCACCAGCAGAACAGUCAUGUCUCCUCUGUUCUAAUCCCUGUUUGUUCCCCAAAACUACCAGGUAUUGCUGUUAGAAACAGACUCUGGAGAACUGAAACAAGGUGUUCUUCAACCACAGUGAAAGAGCACCCAGAAACAAAAUCACAUCAAUUUAAAUAUUGCUUGUUUUACUUUGAAGAUGUCAGGGAAUGGUUAUUUUUCUAGAAACAAGCCAUAAGUAUAUACCUCUCUGAUCUUUUUCAUUUGUCAAGCAGAAUGUAUUAAUGAUUUUUAUGGUUUUGGCUCUUAUGCUUUUUUAUUUUCCCACCUGGUUCACUGUGGUAAAUUCACUUGUCUUACCUACAACACCCUAGAGAUUAGUGUUAGGGAUGAUGUACGUACGCUCCUCGCAGAGACGGCCCAUCCAGCCAUCGGGACAUGAGCAGGCGUUGGGUCGCUCGCAGAUGCCACCGUUCUGGCACGGGAACCGGCAGACAGCUGGAAACAGCACGAUUUCAUUACUAAUUCAGGACAGUGAAUUAGAAGCCUAGCAACUCAGAAUCUUGCACAGGUCUUUGCAGUUGUAAAGCUUAAAGCAGAACAAACAAAUGCAGUGAAGUUCAGAAACAUUGCUUGAUUCCGAUUUCAAGGGCUACAUCAUCUUCUGGCUCUGUGUGUUUGAUUAGGUACUGUAAGCAAGAGUGUGAGAACCAUUAAGACAAUCAAAAAAUUAUCCACGGAAAGAAUGAAAAUGUAGACCUAUUUAUAGUGGAAUAAAUUAUUUGGAAAAUGUUCCAAGGCUGACACUAUGCUUUAUCUGUUUUUCCCACUAAUUUUGUAAAACAAAAUGAAAUACAAUACCCAUACAAUACACCAUAAAAACCUAUUACCUUCCUCACCCCUUCCUCAGGCCUUCUGAAUUGGCUCUGGAAUGGAAUCAAGCUUUCUUCUACCCUUGGUAUGAAACACCAACAUAAUGCCAUCUGGCUUAAUAUACGGGCUUCUGACCUAAACAGAAAGUCUCUGAGGAAGGAAGAGCUGUUGCUUCUAUUUUGACAUGGGGAGCUGAGACUUGCAGGAGGAGAGGCAGACCUGACAAUUCUGACAAUGGCUCCAGUGUUCCCAGGUUGAAUGUCUAACACCAUGACUAAGUGCUUCAGCAGCCUUCUCUGACUCACUAAGGGAAGUCUGAUACCUGAAGAAACACUAGUCAAAGACACCUACUCCUACUUCCACAGAUACUUGAAACAGCAAAAUAAGGUGAAAACAUUUCCAUAAGAAAUACUUUGCAAACCCACGCAUGCUCAGCUUUUUUCAUAUGAACAUAGCUAGUGACUUUAAAAGUCUAUUUACAAGUUUAAGAUGAGGUUGUCCACAGCUAAUGUGACAGCAGGUUACCAGCAGAAUUGAUGAAGAUGUUUGUUCUUUAACACUCAGAGGAUUAAAGUUUGUACAGGUGUACAUUGGAUUAAAAUGUGUGUUGCCUGUUAUUUUGGAGAAAAAGCUCUGCAUUCAAUCAUCAAAAUACAUUAGAAAUGUUGGACAUAAUUUUUUAAAAUCUCAGACACGAUUUAAGGCCUGGAAUGUGACAAAAUGAAUGCUUUUUUAAAGAACAACCACAGCUUUUGAUGGAAGAAGAAAUAAAAAAUUUCUAGUUCUGAAAGUCUAUACAUAGAAAACAAACAAUCAUUCUUACUGGGAAACAACUAAA